rnacentral:lncRNA from 1 species
AAUUGCAUAAUCUCUUCUUUUAUGUUAUCUACUGAAGCAAAAUGAACAGCUGUAUAACUAGUACUUUCAGAAAACAUUUUUUUUGCUCAGUCGGUUAAUAUCGCAUCCCACCUUGUUCCGUAAGGUACUUGGGGCAACUCUGCAGAUAAGUGGUAUAAUAGAAUUUUGAAUACAGAUGGGACAAGAAGAAGAUGGUUAGAAACUAAGACAAAGCCAAGUGUAAAGUAGCACAUACACUUUUGUAUAACUUUUAGAAGUGGGAGAAAACUAUAGUGUUUUCAAAUGUUCCAACUUGAGAAGAAGAUUCACUAAGGGUUUUUAAUGACUCACACCAUCCUUUGCAAUUGUGCAGCGUAGUGUCUUUAAUAAAAAUCUGUUCUUACCUUUCCAAGGAAAAUAAUCUCACAUAUUGCCAGUCUACUUUGCUAGUUACUUGACUUGCUAACAGUUAUUACAUCAGCUUUAUCAAAAUGUAUUAAGCUA